rnacentral:misc_RNA from 1 species
AUCUUGGAUUUCAGCUGGACCUUAACAUUGCUGGCUGUUGGGUUUUCAAUUACAAGGAGAGCCUAGUUCCAAUAAAGAGAGGAAACAAGACUCAGGGCGAGGAUCAUGCAGUUGAGCAAAUUGAACACUUCUUCUAUACCAUACCAAUGGAUGGAGAUCCUGUAAUAUUGUGACAUUAGUUCUUAUCUUGCCCUUCCUAUAACAUUUAUGCUUGA